AAUGGAGAAAAUAGGGAGAUAAGGUCAGAGAGGGAGAGAGACAGUGUGUUGGAGGGGAAUUUCUAACAGGAAGAGGCUAAAUUUGGGGCCAUGCAAAAUCUUUCAGUUAGAGUUUUGGAUUUCUUAAACAUUUGCUUUUUUGGACAAACUCUAAGAUUGCCCAUUGGUGUUUCCUUUGACUAAAAGAGGGGUGGAAAUUGAUAUUUUAUCCCUUACGUAAGGCUCUAAUUUAGUGUUUUCCUAAUUUUCUCUUUAUUAUUGUUUAAAAUUUUCAAUCUAGUCUUAAUAUAUUUUCUAAAUUAUAUAUCUAAAUAUCGUUGGUAAUUAAUCUGUGUAGUAUGGUAUUUGUAUCAAGUUAGAUCAAAAUUUAAGAGAGGAAUUAGGUAACCUAAAGUUUUAAAAUAGAAUCAAAACUUUUUCUGUCUAGAGUGAUUUAACUUUUUUUUCCCGUAUUUAUAAAGUAUAUUCAAUUUUAACAUUCUUCAAUCAAAAGGAUAUAAUAGAAAAGGGUUAUUGAAAUUAUACUUGCCAUCACUAUAUCCCUAGUUAUUUGCCAAAGAGAAUCUUUGUUCAAUUGAAGUUGGCGACAAAUCUUGAACUCGCAUUUGCGUUUUGAUUUUAAUUUUCAUAUUUUAGUGGUGUGCCAUCCUAAUCCACACACAUUUAUUCUGACAUUCUCUUUGUCCACGUCUCCUUGCCAAUCCAUCCUACUAAGAUUUUGAAUUUAUAUUUCCUAAAUAUUUUGUUUUAUUUUACUAUAUUUGAAAAUAUCUAAAAAAAAUAUAUAUUCUUUCGUUAUCGUUACAUCAUAAUUAUAUAAAAAUUAAGUUAUUGAAUCUACCUAAGAUAUAAUAUUGUAAAAUUUUCCUUGAUUAUUCAAAAUGUUAUGGAGUCGGUGGAUUAUAAAUGAGAUUUUCAAAUUGAUUAGUCAAGAUGCACAUAAACUAAUUAGAAUUCAUAGAUGUAUAAAUAUAACAACGGGGCGAGGAUUCAAGCAACAAUGUUAAAAGAAUUAUAAGGAAAUUUUAUAAUAUGAAUAGGAGUAUAUCCUACUAAAGCAUUCCAACAAAUCAUUCACCUCUCACCAUUUUCUCUCUCUCUCUAGCCUCUUUGUUCUGUUGUUUCCUCCAAAUCUGUUUCCAAUUUAUUCUCUUUUCUCCUAUCUCGUACAGCUGACUACACAAUUACACUUUUAUGUUUUUUAGAAAAGUAUUUAGAUGUAAUUUGUGUGUAGCUCAUUCAUUAAAGUGUUCAAUUGAUAAGUUUGCGACGUGAAGAUGAUGCAUGAAGAUAAAAUAGAGAGUGAGUAUUAGUAUUUGUUUAUUUUUUUUAUGAAAUAGGUGAAUCUGAUUUAUAUUUUUUUAUUCUUUAACAUGGAUAAGCAGCCACCACCGGUCACUAGAAGAAUUUUGGCCUUUAAUGUUGGUUUAAAACCGACAUUAAAGGCCUUUAAUGUCACUUGGCAACCGACAUCUUUGUGAGCGUUAUUAAAGGCCUUUAAUGUCGGUUUAAAAACGACAUUAAAGGCCUCUUUAAUGUCGGUUUAAAAACGACAUUAAAGGCCUUCAAUGUCAGUUUUCAACCGACAUCUUUGAUGGUGUUAUUGAAGCCCUUUAAUGUCGGUUGGGCUUUAAUGUCGGUUUAAAAACGACAUUAAAGCCCUCUUUAAUGUCGGUUGAACUUUGAUAUGUCGGUUUAAAACCGACAUUAAAGCCUAGUUUUUUUAUUCAUUUUUACAAAUUUAUUUUUAUUUAAUUGUUACAUUAUUGUCCUAUAGACCGACAUUGGGUCAAUGUAGAUAAAUAUGUUUUUCACACGCCAACAAAUCAAUGAAAUUCAUAUUAUGUUAGAAACUAUAACAUUUGUCUUUUACAUUUGAAUACACAAAAUAAAAUAUUAAUAUUAUGUUUAUAUAUACAUUCUACAAUAGUACAUGAAAAAAGAUUCUAAUACAAGAAUUAAAUAAUUACAGAAUAGUCCAUAAAGUAAAUGACAUUUGAAGCCCACCUCCUCCCCCCACCAUUCACAAGCACAGGACAGGUCGAGCUUAUGAUGCCCUUCUAUGACUCAUCUAACUGGUCCUGCAACAAUUCCACAUAAUUCAUUUAUGUUAAUGCCCUCCUCAUAGCUCAUCCUGCAACACCAACGACAUAAUCAGCUCCUUCUUUCAUUGAAGAACCAAUGCUGAAGUUGGACAAUAUGAUAUUGAAAGAAGAUUCUGACCCAAUACAACAGGUUCAAGAUCAAGAACAUAAAGUGAUGGACGACAAAUGUGGACGACGCCACUAAUGGCAGUCGGCAGCUUCUUCAACGACAGAAGGCAGACCAUACGUCAACAAUAGACUCUGGAAUUGGGCUGUGAGGGGGUGCCGUCGACUGAAAUGUGAAAUCAAUGGUGUAACGCCCCAAAAUUUUCGAGGUAAGGGCACAGCGAGGGGCAGACCGACGAAAGGCAGGAAGGACGCGUGAAGGCCAUAUGGACGCGUCUGGUUUUCUUAUCGCUUCCGCUAUGUAUUUUGUCAGAAUAUUUGACUUGUGCUUUUGGAACUAAUGACUUGAGUUUUUGUUGAGACUUUUUAUGAUUGAUUUAAAAUAGGGCCCGAAACUGUCUUUUUGUAAUGUUUCUAAUGCUUUUAAUGAAUCGUAACUGGUCCGUUUUAAAUUUUA